rnacentral:lncRNA from 1 species
AAAGUUUUCUCCUGCUAGUUCUCUGGGUUAAGCCAAAAUCUACACAUAAAAGGGCAGUUAAACAUGAAUUUCAAGUAAAAACAUAAUUCAAAGUUUUGCUGGACCAUCAGUUGAAACCAAGUACUAGGCUCUGGCUUAGCUUCCCUUAAUCACAGUCGUUGUAAUCAAACAACUUCGCCGAACAGACAAAACCUGCAACUUAUCAUCAGUUCAUUGCUCAGCCUAGAUGAAGAAGCAGUUGAUAGAAUACAAUCAUAAGGUGUGUAAAAAAAAAUUAAACUUAGAUACAAGGUAACUUAUCUACAAUUAUAGUUUGGCUAAAUAAUUAAUUAGGCCAAUAAAUGUAGAAUAAUUGGUUUGAUAUAAUGAUAACCACUGCCUUCAAAACUAGAAAAUUAUUACUGAUUGGACUGAAUUUUGAUAAACAAUAUAUUUUCUGUUUAGAAUUAAUAAAUAGAAGCAUAUAGGAACCCAUUCGUUGUUGAAGUCCGGCUGCUGCUAAAUGAUGCCUUUCUAAUGUUGAAGGUAAAGGGAAACCAAUUUCAAAUAUUUUGAAGAACCGGCUGAAUUUGUCAAAUAAGAAAAUGUAUCUAAGUUUGACUGCUCGAGUGAUUUGUGAUUGUUGUGAAGGAGAACACUAUAUUUAUAGUUUCCAACAGUUUCUUGAAAUCCCUUUGGUAGAGAAAUGAUUUUUAAAAUGAUGGGGGCAUGAGAUAGAAAGAUACAUGGUGUUGUCAAGGAUCAAUAAGUUCUAUUAGAGUGCAAACCAAUCUCUGAAUGAAAGGUUAUGUUAAGAAUGCUAGCUUGUCACAAUACCUACUCAUUUUCUUUUCAGACAUGCAUUAGCAUGUCACAUGUUCUCUUCUCAUAGCCAACACAGCUUAAUGUUGACAAGAGAUCACAUGAGUGUCUAGAGGUCUUUCUCAAAGAUUAAAUGAGUGAUUCUUAAGACUCUACAGUAAUUAAAUUUAUCUAAUUGAUAUCAGCCACAUUUUACGGUUAGAUCAACAACGUGGCCAGUCUGUCCAUACAAAGUUGAGCACAUCCAAGAAGAUUGCAUUGUUUAUUGGUGAUAUAACUUGUCUUACAAAAACAAGAACAAGACAUUUGAUGUGUCUAGAGCUUGUCUGAAUUAUAUUAAGUAAGCUAUCUCUAGUCCUUUUUCAAAAGGUGGGGUAUGUAUUCUCACAUUUUAUGGUCCUCUAGGAAAGCUUUCAAGACAGUACCAUGUGAUCAUUAAUGAGCCAGGCUCCCACUAACACCCAUUCAAUAACUCAUUCGCUAUACAAUUGGUUUAACAUACUCUAUAUAUAUAUCCAUCAUUGGGUUUACAAGCAACACAAACCAUUCAUACUUGGAAGCGUCAGAAUUCAAGUUCAUUUCUUUCUUCUCCUACUUUUUCAUUCUAUUGUCAAGAAACAAAACGAGAAUGGGUUUUCACUUACCUGGUAUUGACGAUCAUCAUCUAGCAAACAAGUGGAAGUCCCAAAGGCUAUCUUGCGGUGUAUGUCGAGAGAAAGCAGGAGGUUCUUGAUUCCAAUAGAAACGAGCCUUUAUUUCAAGAAUUGCUUAUCCAAGCUGAAGAGGAAGUACUGUCAUACCAAUGGCUUACAAUUCCGUGCAAGGAAGAUAUCUACUUACAUACAGUUUCUUGCUUGAACAACCUAUAAAGAAUCAUACGGCAAAAAAUGCAAUAAUGUUAGCAUAGAACAGUGUAGAUUAAGUAGUGGAGACAAUUUUUGUACAUCAGGAAUUCCUGUCAAUUUUGAUGUUCCUCUUAAGUGGGAAAUAUGAAAUGAGAAUCUAAUCAAACUAUAUUUUUGUGAAUUCAUCGUUGUUUUUUGUGAACUCAUCUAAUCAAACUAAUAUUAAUUAGUACUAGAGACGUAGUUAAUUAAAGCCUAAAACAGAACCAAAUUAUACUCUGAUGAAUUCAUCUGUUGAUUUUAAUCUCAUCUUAAAUACUUGUGUUGCAUGCACAAACACAAGUCAAUGAAGCCAUGCCCCCAAUUUAAUGGAAACUGUCUAUUACAUACUAACCAAAAGAUUAUCUCAGUCUCCAUACAUUAGUAUUCCUUUCUUAAAUCAAAAUAUUAUCACAGUCUCAAAAUUACAUGCAUGCAGUUCAUGUGUUUCAGGAGCUAAUUAAACAGAGACUGAGCAGAGCAUAUAACAGAGCAUAUAUUGGAGACAGUUAAUUAGAGCCUCAAAUUGAAGAUAAACCAUCAAAUAAUAGAGUUCAGGCUUACCACUUAUUGACCAAAUUAUGAAAAGUCUUCUAUUGCUAGUUCUCUGUUUAGCCAAAAUCUACACAUAAAAUGGCAGUUAAACAUGAAUUUCGAGUAAAUAACAUAACUCAAAGCUUCCCUUAAUCAGAGCUGUUGUGGUCAAACAACUUCGCCCGAAACAGACAAAACAAACAUUUAACUGUCCUGCAACUUAUCUCAGUUCAUUGCUCUGCCUAGAUAAGAAGCAGUUGAAUAGAAUAGAAUCAUAAGGUGUGUAAAAAAAAUUAAACUUAGAUACAAGGUAACUUAUCUACAAUUAUAGUUUGGCUAAAUAAAUUACUAGGCCGAUAAAUGUAGAAUAAUGUUUGAUAUAAUGAUAACCACUGCUACAAAACUAGAAAAUUAUUACUGAUUGGACUGAAUUUUAAUAAACAAUAUAUUUUUCUGUAUUAGAAUUUAUAAAUAGAAGCAUAUAGGAACCCGUUCGUUGUUGAAUAUAAUUUCAUUAUGAUUAGAAAUAAAUAAAUAACAAAUAUUUUGUUCCUGAAUUUGUCAUUCAGAUGGACAAUUCUAAACCCAUUCAAAAGUAGGGAAAGGAAAAAUCAUAACAAAAAUUAAAAUUGUGACUGUUGUACAAAUGUCACUGCUAAUCUAAUGUCAGUAUUUUGCAGCUCUAGAUUAUAGUCCAUUGAAGCGAGAAGUAAUAUGCAAGAAAACAUCUUGCGUGCAAGAAUUGUGAGGCCGCCAUCGGAUGAUCAUAUCCGAAUUCUCCUCAGCUGCAUCCACAAGUCUUGAAAUGAAGGUUGGUUCAAGUAAGACAUAGGAAUAACAAAGCGCUUCAUUUUCUCUCCAACAUACACAGCAAGAUAACCUUUUGGCACAUUCAAAGUUUUGACGAUGCUUGGCUACCUAUAAAGAAGCACGUCUAAUAGAAGGUAAUCGGAACCCAUCUUGUAAUGUUUGAAAACACAACUGAAUUUCUCCAGAUUUAAGAAAAGUGUAUGUAAAUUUGUUUGCUUGAGUGGUUUUUGUGAUGUUGUGAAGGAAGAUGGUGGUGCAUAUAUAGUUUCCAAUAGUAUCUUGAAAUCCAUUUGAUUGAGAAAUUAUUGUUAAAAUGAUGGGUCCAUGAGACAAUAGAUCACAUGGUACUGUCUUAGAUGCCUCUAUCUAUCAAGUAUAGAUAAAUUCAACAAGAGUGCAAACCAUAGCACUGAAAUCAAUUGAUAUGUGCGCAAGUUAAAUCUAAUGCUAGCUGUACAUGCCUGCCAUUUUCUUCAGACAUGCAUCAGACAUGGCACAUGUUCUCUCCUAUUAACAACACAGCUUAUGUUGAUAUAUUUAUUAUUCUUGAAGAGCCUAGUGGAGAUUAGACUGUGGUUCACAACAGAUCACAAACUACUGUCUAGAGGUCUUGUCAAGAUUGAAUAAUUGCUUAAGAAUUGAGAGAGUAUUUACAUGUAUGUCCCACAUUAAGAGAUGUGGUAACAUGGUGACCAUUCACAAAAUGAAAUUCAGUCCACAAAACUACUAAUUUUUAAACCAUUGCAAUGACAUGAUUCUUAUGUUUCAGACAUGCCUACAUGUUAAAACAUCUCAAAGUGGUAAAAUCUCCCAGUGAGAAGUACUUUACUCAGCAUGCAUUUCAAGAGAAACUCUCAAAAGACGAAUUAUGAGCAUGCAUGCAAUGGUACUGUAAAUUACUCCAUACUAGAGAGGAAUGUGAAUUACUGUCAUCAACAUGGAAGUCUACAAUUCCUGCAACGCACCAAUUUUAGGAAACUGACUAUAUCUUACAUAGUAGAUAUGGUAUGCAAGGCUGUUAUUCUAUUGGAUACGUAGUGAGACCUAUACAACAAAGCUCAAAAAAUAAUUCUUUAAAGAAAACCAUAACCUUAUAAAGAAAUUCAACUUGUUUUACACUGUGACAGAAUUUUUGAAGCAAGUCAGUAGCAUUGAAAAUGAAAUUAAGACAAGAAUCUACACAGUUGAAGAAGGUGGUGACCAUUAUCACAUGAACUCUUAUACAUAACCAAAUCAGAAUAAAACUGAAAGCUAUGAUGUAUAUAUAUAUGGUGAAUUUGAUGUUUUCUGAAACGAAGAUCGUAUGGUGAACCAUUCAGAACAAUGAUUUAACUAUACAUAACGAAAACUGAAAGCUAUGUUUUGCAAACACAUAACAAUGAUAGAUAUAUACCAAAUCAGAACAAGAAUUUAGCCCUAUUCAAUAAUACUUGGUUGAAGUAGGACGUCUUCGUCAUGAUCAACUACCUGCAUGAUAAGUAAACUCAAAAAAUCAAGAAAAAAGGAAACGAAUUGUAGAAAAUAACGCCUAGAUUUAUGAUCUGAAACGGGAGAGAAAAGUUCAAAAAAAUUCAGAAAACAAAACCUAAUACUUGGUUGAAAUAGGAGUCACGCGUCACGUAACACACCCUGCAUUGAAGAGAAAACAAACCCUAAACCUCAAAAUCAAGAGAAAAAAGGAAAUGCAGAAAAGCAAAACCCUAACAACAAUGUCUGAACGGCAAAGAAGAAGACGAGACAGGGAAAAAAAUCUCAAAAAAAUUUGGACCAUUUCUCGAUUUGUGCGUGUCAUCCUUGCGCAGGGCCAUGCUACUUCUCGUAUCGUUCCAAUUAUCGGAUUGUCCCCGAAGGGACGAUAGUGGUUACUCUUAACAUGGUAAAUAUAUAAACAAAACAAUGAAAUUAGGUCAUCAAUGGGGACUAAAAGUAAGUAGUACAUAUUAUUUCUCCUUGUUUUAGUUCUCUGCUUCAAUUCUGCACUAUUUUAAUGUAUCUCUUGCCUCAAUUCACUAAUUACUAGUACUAAUUAAUUAUCACUAAAUCUUCUCAAGGAUCAAGGUCCACAUGUAUACUAAUAAUCUUAGUAAUUUUUUUUUUUGGCUCUCCUAUACAAACUUACUAUUUUCUACAACUAGUAACAUCUGCGUAACAAACUAAUUUAAUACUUAAUUAUGAAUUAGCAUUACUAUUAUUUUUAUAUUAACUUAAUUACCAUUCACUCAUAAUUAAUACUCUUUACUUAUUAAUUGAUUAGUACUAUUAUAAUUAUUCUUUAUAUUAGUUACUCUUUAUCCAUUAACAAUAUCCUUAUUAAAUUAUAGCAAUCGUUUUUAUACUCUUCAAUAAUAAAUUUUUCUAACACUUUAUAAAAUUAUCCUAAUUUAACUUUAACUAAUUAAUUUCUAAAUGCAGUGGUUUUAAUUUGAAAUUAGUGUUUGUCCUAUAAGUGGUUUAAAAAUUUAAAUUCAAUACUAUUAUUGUUGCUCUUUAUUAUUAAUUGAUACUGUUCGUACAAUUAACUAUUGUUUACUCAUUAAUCAAUUAAUGUUAUUCUAUUAUUAGUUAUUAUUCCUUUCUCAUUAAUCAAUUAACCGUGUCCUUAUUAUACUCAAUUUUUCUUAAAGUAAUCGAUUUAAUACUCUUCACUUAAUAAAUCUUUAACACUUACAGAAUUAUCUAAUUUAAGUAUUUGACUAAUUAAUGUCUAAAAGUCUCUACUCAAAUUUUUUCAUUACUUAAUCACUCAAUUAGAAAAUGUAUAAAAAUCAAAUUAUAUCAAACACAAUUGCAUGUACCUUAAAGUCGGAUAAAACAAAAUAAAAACAAACUAGUGACAAGAAAUUAUGACGAAACAACAAUUGGAUAUACGAUGUAAAAUCAUCAUAAUAUAAUCGCAGUCUCACAUUUAUGUGGUUCAAUGGUUUAACUAAGAUGUAUCAUGAUCAAUGGUGUUUUUCAUGUUUCAUCAACAAAAGGAUUACUGCAACAUGUGUAAUCUUUUCCAUUGUCAUAAGUGUGCAUCAUUUGAUCCGGUGUUUUAUUAUUUGUGUCUAGAAUCCAAUAUUCCUUUGUUGUUGAUGUUUAAUGUCUUGUAUGAAUUGUCCUAUCUUAUAACACCGACAAAAAGUUAAACAAAUCGUUACAAGUCGGUCCCUCCACGAAAUAGUCACUAACCACCUACUCGGAAAUUUGGAGGAAGUUCAAAUCAACUUGCAAAUGCAUUGCCAAAGAGGAAACAUUAUAGGUCAUUUUGGGCAAAAUAUCAUUGAACAAGUGAUUUUCCCAACUCUUAAAAUGCAUAACUCCUUCAUUAACAAAUCCAAUUAAGAAAGUCAAAUUUGUGAUCAAAAUUUAAUUAGUUUGGGAAAAGAGCUACAACUUUGAUGAAGGAAUGUUUUCAUUUGAAGUCCAUAGAAAAAGUGUUCAAGGUGAAGAAGUGAACAUUUGAACUUGGGACUUAGAAAAUUUUCAAAUAUUUUGAUUCCCUAACUUCCACUCCAAAAUUUAUCAUGAAUCCAAGCUUUCAAAAAAAAACGUGUUUCAUCAUACAAAGUUGUUCCCCUUGAUCCUCGCCUUUCCAAAAAGUCCAAGAUUCAACCUUAUUUGAACCAACAGGAAUGAAGGACUUAACGCAUGGAUGCAAUGUGAGAUGCGCCAUUUGGAUGAUUUUUAUCCACAUUUCAUACAGCAAAAUGCAAUGGCCACUGACAUGAUUUUAGCAUGAAUCCUCACUCCUUUUGGAACCCUGAAUACAUCAAUUGAAUGGACCUAUCACACCCAUAGCAAGCAUCAAAGAGAAAUUAAACUAAAAUUGGCAAUUUUUGGAAGUGUGUGGAAAGAACAUCUCCUUUGGCUAUAAAUAAACCCUUAUUACUCAGAGAUUAAAGGGACCUGCAUGCCCAGCUUUGAACCUGCAAUACAAACUCUCACGCAUUAAAGAUAUCUUGAAGGUUUUCAUUUUAAAAUCGAGCUCAAAUUCUCUUCGUUUUGAGAAUUGAAACUCCAAGAGAUUCAUUUCCACACACUUCCAAAAAAUUGCCAAUUUUAGUAAUUCUUCUUGAAUGCGUUGCAUGGGUGCUGUGAAUUAGGUUCCAUCAAUUGAUGUAUUCAGGUCAAAAUGAGUGAGGAUCAUGCCUAAAAAUCCAUGUCAUGUGGCCAUGCAUGUUGUGUAUGAAAUGUGGUAGUAAAAAUCCAUCCAAUGGCAUCUCAACAUUGCAUCCAUGCGUAAGUCCUUCAUUCUUUGGUCAAAUAAGGUGAUUCUUUGCACUUUUUGGAACAAGGCGAGAUCAAGGGGAACAACUUUUAUGAUGAACACGUUUUUAUUUGAAGCUUGGAUCAUGAAUAAAUUUGAGGUGGAAGUUUUAGGGAAAUCAAACAUAUUUGAAAAUUUUCUAAUCCCAAGUCAAAUGUUACUUCUUCCACUUGAUAUUCAACUUUUUCUAUGGACUUCAAAUGAAAAACAUUCCUUCAUCAAAGUUGUAGCUCUUUCAAACUAUUAAAUUUUGAUCACAAAUUUGACUUUAUUUGGAUUUGUAUAUGAAGGGAAGUUAUGCACAUUUGUAGAAGUUGAGAAAAUCACUUGUUCAAAUGAUAUUGACCCCAAAAUGACCUAUACAUGUUUCCUCUGGGCACAUGCAUUUGCAAGUUGAAUUUUGAACUUCCUCAAAUUUCCGAGUAGUGGUUAGUGACUUAUUUCGUGAGGACCGACUGUAACGAUUUUGGUUACUUUUUGUGGUUUAUAAUGAUAGGACAAUUCAUACAAGACAUUAAACAUCAACAACAAAGAAUAUGGCAUUCUAACACAAAUAUAAACACCGGAUCAAAUGAUGCACACUAUGACAAUGGAAAAGAUUACACAUGUGCAGUAUCCUUUUGUGAUAACAUGAAAACACAUAUCAGAUACAUCUUUUAAACAUUGAACCACAUAAAUGUGAGACUCCGAUUAUAUUAUGAUGAUUUUACAUCGUAUAUCCAAUUGUUGUUUCGUCAUAUUCUUGUCACUAGUUUGUUUUUAUUUUUUUAUCCGACUUUAAGGUACAUGCAAUUGUUUUGUAUAAUUUGAUUUUUAUACAUUUCUAUUGAGUGAUUAAGUAGGAAAAAUAAUUUGAGUAGGAGACUUUUAGACAUUAAUUAGUCAAACUUAAAUUAGAUAAUUCUGUAAGUGUUAGAAGAAUUUAUUAAUGAAGAGUAUUAAAUCGAUUACUUUAAGAAAAAUUGAUUAAUAAGACACGGUUAAUGAUUAAUGAGAAGGAAUAACUAAUAAUAAGAAUAACAUAAUUGAUUAAUGAGUAAACAAUAGUAAUUUGUAACGACAGUAUCAAUUAAUAAAUAAAGAGCACUAAUAAUAGUAUUGAAUUAAAUUUUUAAACCCUAGAGGACAAACACUAUUUCAAAUUAAAACCACUGCAUUUAGAAAUUAUUAGUUAAAGUUAAAUUAGAUAAUUUAUUAAGUGUUAGAAAAAUUUAUUAUUGAAGAGUAUAAAACGAUUGCUAUAAUUUAAUAGAUAUUGUUAAUGGAUAAAGAGUAACUAAUAAUAAAGAAUAACUUAUAAUAGUACUAAUCAAUAAUAAGUAAAGAGUAUUAUUAUUAGUGAAUGGAUAAUUAAGUAUAAUUAAUAAAAAUAAUAGUAAUGCUAAUUCAAUAAUUAAGUGAUUAAUUAGUUUUCUUACCGCAGAUAGAUUACUAGUUGUAGAAAAUAGUAAGUUUGUAUAGGAGAGCCAAAAAAAAAAAUUACUAAAGUAUAGUAGUAAUACAUGGUGGACCUUGAACUCCUUGAGAAUUUUGUGUAUAAUUAAUUAGUACUAGUAAUUAAGUGAAGUUGAGGCAAGAGAAGAAUUAAAAAAUAGAUGCAGAAUGGAAGAGAGAAAUAAUAAGAAGGAGAAAUAAUUGUACUACUUACUUUAGUCCACACAUUGACUGCCUAAUUUCAUUGUUUAGUGUUUAUAUACCAUAAGUUAAGAGAACCACUAUCGUCCCUUCGGGGACAUCCGAUAAAUUGGAACGAUACAGAGAAAGAUUAGCAUGGCCCUGCGCAAGGAUGACACGCACAAAUCGAGAAAUGUCCAAAUUUUUUUUGAGAUUUUUUUCCUGUCUCGUCUUCUUCGCCUGCCGUUCAGACAUUGUUGUUAGGGUUUUGCUUUUCUGCAUUUCCUUUUCUCUUGAUUUUGAGUUUAGGGUUUUUGUUUUCUCUUCAAUGCAGGUGGUGUUCGUGACGACGUGACUCCUAUUUCAACACAGUAUAGGGUUUUGUUUUCUAUUUUUUUGACUUUUCUCUCCGUUCAGAUAUUAUUAGGGUUUGUUUUCUACAUUUCGUUUCCUUUUUUCUUUGAUUUUGAGUUUCUUUCAAUGCAGGUGGUGUUCAUGACGAGGUACUCCUACUUCAACAAGUAUUAUGUAUGGUUAAAUCUUGUUCUGAUUUGGUUAUUCUAUCAUUUUAUGUGUUGCGAAAACAUAGUUCAGUUUCGUUAUGUAUAGUUAAAUCAUUGUUCUGAUUUGGUUCACCAUAUCGAUCUUCGUUUCAGAAAACAUCAAAUUCACCAUAUAUAUAUAACAUAUAGCUUUUCAGUUUUAUUCUGAUUUGGUUAUGUAUAGAGUUCAUGUGAUAAUGUCCCGCACCUUCUUCAACUGUUGUAGAUCUUGUCUUAAUUUCAUUUCAAUGCUACUGACUUGCUUCAAAAUUCUGUCACGUGUAAAACAAGUUGAAUUUCUUUUAUAGUUAUGGUUUUCUUUUAAAGAUUUAUUUCUUUGAGCUUUGUGUAUGGUCUCACUACGUAUCCAAUAGAAAACCAGCCUUGCAAUUACCAUAUCUACAUGUAAGAAUAGUCAGUUUCCAUAAAAUUGGUGCGUUGCAGGGAAUUGUAGACCUUCCCAUUGGAUGACAGUAAUCACAUUCCUCUCAUAAGUAUGGAGUAAUUUACAGUACCAUGACAUGCAUGCUCAAAUUCGUCUUUUGAGAGUUCUCUUGAAAUGCAUGCUGAGUAAAGUACUUCUCACUGGAGAUUUACCCUUUUGAGAUGUUUUUAACAUGUAAGGCAUGUCUGAAACAAUAAGAAUCAUGUAUUGCAAUGGUUUAAAAAUUAGUAGGUUUUGGACUGAUUUCAUUUUGUGAAUGGUCACCAAUGUUACCACAUCUUCUAAUGUGGGACAUACAUUAAAUUACUCUCUCAGAUUCUUAAGCAUUAUUCAAUCUUGACAAAGACCUCUAGACAGUAGUUUGUGAUCUGUUGUGAACCACAGUCUGAUUAUCUCCAACUGGCUCUUCAGAAUAAUAAAUUAUCAACAUUAAGCUUGUGUUUGUAAUAGGAAGAGAACAUGGCCGUCUGAUGCAUGUCUGAAAGAAAUGAGCAUGCAUUGUACAAGUAGCAUUGAGUUUAACUUGCGCACAUAUCAAUUGAUUUUCAGUGCUAUGGUUUGCACUCUUGUUGAAUUUAUCUAUACUUGAUAGAUAGAGGCAUCUAAGACAGUACAUGUGAUCUAUUGUCUCAUGGGACCAUCAUUUUAAACAAUAAUUCUUCUCAAUCAAAUGGAUUUCAAGAUACUAUUGGAACUAUAUAUGCACCACCAUCUUCCUUCACACAUCACAAACCACUCAAGCAAACAAAUUACAAACACUUUUCUUAAAUCUGAAAAUUCAGUUUGUUUUUCAAACCAUUACAAGAUGGGUUUCCGAUUACCUUCUAUUAGACGUGCUUCUUUUAUAGGUAGCCAAGCAUCGUCAAAAACUUUGAAUUGCCAAAAGGUUAUCUUGCUGUGUAUGUUGGAGAGAAAUGAAGCGCUUUGUUAUUCCUAUGUCUUACUUGAACCAACCUUCAUUUCAAGACUUGUUGCAUGCAGCUGAGAAGAAUUCGGAUAUGAUCAUCCGAUGGGCGGCCUCACAUUCCUUGCACGCAGAUGUUUUCUUGCAUAUUACUCUCCGCUUCAAUGGACUAUGAAACUCUAGCUGCAAGAUACUGACAAUUAGGAUUAGCAGUGACAUUUUGUACAACAGUCACAUAUUUAUAUUUGUAUAGAUUUUCCUUUCCGCUACUUUUUGGGAAUGGUAGAAUUGUCCAUCUGAAUGACAAAUUCAGGAAACAAAAUAUUGUGUUAUAUUUAUUUCUAAUCAUAAUGAAAUAAUAUUCAACAACGAGACGGUUUGCCUAUAUGCUUCUUAUUUAUAAAUUCUAAUACAGAAAUAUAUUGUUUUAAUGUAAAAAUCAGUUCGCAAUCAGUAAUAAUUUCUAGUUUAAGGCCAGUGUGUUAUCAUUAUAUCAACCAAUUAUUCUAACAUUUAUCGGGCCUAGUUAAUUAUUAGCCGAACAUAAUUGUAGAUAAGUUAGCCUUUUAUCCUAAGUUAUAAUUUUUUUACACACCUUAUGAUUCUAUUCUAUCAACUGCUUCUUCAUCUUAGGCAAGAGGGCAAAAUGAAACUGAGAUAAGUUGCAAGGACAGUAAAUGUUUGUUUGUCUUUCGGGCGAAGUUGUUUGACGCACAAGCAGCUCUGAUUAAGGGAAGCUUUGAGUUAUGUUAUUUACUGAAUCAUGUUUAACUGCCCAUUUUAUGUGUUAGAGUUUUGGCUAAGAAAGAAACUAGCAAUAGAAGACUUUCAUAAUUUGGAUCAAUAAGUGGUAAGCCCUGACUCCUAUUAUUUGAUGUUUAUCUUCAAUUUGAGGCUCUAAAUAUAUGUCUCCAAUAGAUGCUCUCCGCUUAUAGUGCUCUGCUCAGUCUCUGUUAAUUAGCUCCGUAAAACAAUGAACUGCAUGGCAUGUAAUUUUGAGACUGUGAUAUAUUUUGAUUUAAGAAAGGAAUACUAAAUUAUUGGAGACUGAGAUAAUCUUUUGUUAGUAAUGUAAUAGACAGUUCCAUUAAAUUGGGGCAUGGCUUCAUUGACUUGUGUUUGUGCAUGCAACACAAGUAUUUAAGAUCGAGAUUAAAACAACAGAGAAUUCAUCAGAGUAUGAAUUUGGUUUGUUUUAGCUUUAAUUAACACGUCUCUAGUACUAAUAAAUAUUAGUUUGAUUAGAUGAGUUCCAAAAACAACGGAUGAAUUCACAAAAAAUAUAGUUUUGAUUAGAUUCCCUCAUUUCAUAUUUCCCACUUAGAGGAAACAUCAAAAUUGACAGGAAUUCCUGAAUGUACAAAAAUUGUCUCCACUAACUUAGAUCUACACUGUUUCUAUGCUAACCAUUCAUUAUGCAUUUUUUGCCGUAUGAAUUCUUAUAGGUUGUUCAAGCAAGAAACUGUAUAAAUGUAAGUCGAUAUCUUCCUUGCACGGAUUGUAAGACCGCCCAUUAAGGAUGAACAGUAACCGUAUUCAAUACUCAGCUUGAUAAGCAGUUCUUGAAAUAAAGGCUCGUUCAAGAUAAGAUAAUUGGAAUCAAAACCUCCCUUGCUUUCUCUCCGACAUAACACGCAAGAUAAGCCUUUUGGGACUCACCUUGUUUGCUAGAUAAUGAUCGUCUUAUACGCAGGGUUAAGUGAAAACCCAUUCCGUUUUGUUUCUUGACAAUAGAAUGAUCUCAAAGAAGUAGGAGAAGAAAGAAAUGAACUUGAAUUCUGACGCUUCCAAGGUAUGAAUGGUUUGUGUUGCUUGUAAACCCAAUGAUGGAUAUAUAUAUAGAGAGAGUUUGAAAACCAAUUGUAUAGCGAAUGAGUUAUUGAAUGGGUGUUAGUGGGAGCCAUGGCUCAUUAAUGAUCACAUGGUACUGUCUUGAAAGCUUUCCUAGAGGACCAUAAAAUGUGAGAUUACAUACCCCACCUUUUGAAAAAGAGACUAGAGAUAGCUUACUUAAUAUAAUUCAGACAAGCUCUAGACACAUCAAAUGUCUUGUUCUUGUUUUUGUAAGACAAGUUAUAUCCAACCAAUAAACAAUGCAAUCUUCUUGGAUGCUGCUGCAACUUUGUAUGGACAGACUACGGCCACGUUGUUGAUCUAACCGUAAAAAUGUGGCUGAUAUAUCAAUUAGAUAAAUUUAAUUACUGUAGAGUCUUAAGAAAUCACUCAUUUAAUCUUUGAGAAAGACCUCUAGACACUUUCAUGUGAUCUCUUGUCAACAUUAAGCUGUGUUGGCUAUGAGAAGAGAACAUGUGACAUGUCUAAUGCAUGUCUGAAAAGAAAAUGAGUAGGUAUUGUACAAGCUAGCAUUCAGUUUAACAUAAGCCUUUCAUUCAGAAGAUUGGUUUGCACUCUAAUAGAACUUAUUGAUCCUUGACAACACCAUGUGAUCUUUCAUCUCAUGCCCCCCAUCAUUUUAAAAAUCAUUUCUCUACCAAAGGGAUUUCAAGAAACUGUUGGAAACUAUAAAUAUAGUGUUCUCCUUCACAACAAUCACAAAUCACUCGAGCAGUCAAACUUAGAUACAUUUUUCUUAUUUGACAAAUUCAGCCGGUUCUUCAAAAUAUUUGAAAUUGGUUUCCCUUUACCUUCAACUAUUAGAAAGGCAUCAUUUAGCAGCAGCCGGACUUCAACAACGAAUGGGUUCCUAUAUGCUUCUAUUUAUAAAUUCUAAAACAGAAAAUAUAUUGUUUAUCAAAAUUCAGUCCAAUCAGUAAUAAUUUUCUAGUUUUGAAGGCAGUGGUUAUCAUUAUAUCAAACCAAUUAUUCUACAUUUAUUGGCCUAAUUAAUUAUUUAGCCAAACUAUAAUUGUAGAUAAGUUACCUUGUAUCUAAGUUUAAUUUUUUUUUACACACCUUAUGAUUGUAUUCUAUCAACUGCUUCUUCAUCUAGGCUGAGCAAUGAACUGAUGAUAAGUUGCAGGUUUUGUCUGUUCGGCGAAGUUGUUUGAUUACAACGACUGUGAUUAAGGGAAGCUAAGCCAGAGCCUAGUACUUGGUUUCAACUGAUGGUCCAGCAAAACUUUGAAUUAUGUUUUUUACUUGAAAUUCAUGUUUAACUGCCCUUUUAUGUGUAGAUUUUGGCUUAACCCAGAGAACUAGCAGUAGAAGACUUUUCAUAAUUUGCUCAAUACGUGGUAAGCCUCAACUCUAUUAUUUGAUGCUUUAUCUUCAAUUUUAGGCUCUAGUUGACUGUCUCCAAUAUAUGCUCUGUUAUAUGCUCUAAAAAUAAGCAUUUUUUAUUGUCUAGUCAUUUUUCCUAAAAAUAUAAUAUUAAUUUAAAAAAGGAUACUAAAUGUAUGGAGACUGUGAUAUUAUUUUGAUUAGUAUGUAAUAGACGGUAUCCAUUAAAUUGGGGGCAUGGCUUCAUUGGCUUGUGUUUGUGCAUGCAACACAAGUAUUUAAGAUGACAUAAAAGUUAACAGAUGAAUUCAUCAAAGUAUAAUUUGGUUCCGUUUUAGGCUUUAUUUACUACCUCUCUAGUAUUAAUUAAUAUUAGUUUGAUUAGAUGAGUUCACAAAAAACAACAGAUGAAUUCACAAGAAUAUAGUUUGAUUAGAUUCUCAUUAAUAAUUUGGUUCCGUUUUAGGCUUUAUUUACUACCUCUCUAGUAUUAAUUAAUAUUAGUUUGAUUAGAUGAGUUCACAAAAAACAACAGAUGAAUUCACAAGAAUAUAGUUUGAUUAGAUUCUCAUUUCAUAUUUCCACUUAAGAGGAAACAUCAAAAUUGAUAGGAAUUCCUGAUGUACAAAAAUUGUCUCAACUAGUAAAUCUACACUGUUCUAUGCUAACAUUCAUAUGCAUUUUUUCCUGUAUGAAUUCAUUAUAGGUUGUUCAAGCAAGAAACUGUAUGUAAGAAGAUAUCUUCCUUGCACGGAAUUGUAAGCCCGCCCAUUGGAUGACAGUAACCGUAUUCCUCUUCAGCUUGGAUAAGCAAUUCUUGAAAUAAAGGCUCGUUCAAGAAUGAUAUUGGAAUCAAAAACCUCCUUGCUUUAUCUCCAACAUACACCGCAAGAUAGCCUUUUGGGACUUCCACUUGUUUGCCAGAUGAUGGUCGUCUAAUACCAAGUAAGUGAAAACCCAUUCUUGUUUUUGUUUCUUGACAAUAGAAUGAUCUUAAAGAAGUAGUAGAAGACAGAAACGAACUUGAAUUCUGACGCUUCAAGGUAUGAAUGGUUUGUGCUGCUUGUAAACCCAAUGAUGGAUAUAUAUAGAGUUUGAAAACCAAUUGUAUAGUGAAUGAGUUAUUGAAUGGAUGUUAGUGGGAGCUAUGGCUCAUUAAUGAUCACAUGGUACUGUCUUGAAGGCUUUCCUAGAGGACCAUAAAAUGUGAGAUUACAUACCCCACCUUUUGAAAAAGAGACUAGAGAUAACUUACUUAAUAUAAUUCAGACAAGCUCUAAACACAUCAAAUAUCUUGUUCUUGUUUUUGUAAGACAAGUGAUAUCCAACCAAUAAACAAUGCAAUCUUCUUGGAUGCUGCUGCAACGUUGUAUGGACAGACUACUGCCACAUUGUUGAUCUAACCGUAAAAUGUCGCUGAUAUAUCAAUUGGAUAAAUUUAAUCACUGUCGAGUCUUAAGAAAUCACUCAUUUAAUCUUUGAGAAAGACCUCUAGACAGAUUCAUGUGAUCUCUUGUCAACAUUAAGCUGUGUUGUCUAUGUGAAGAGAACAUGUGCCAUGUCUAAUGCAUGUCUGAAAAUAAAUGAGUAGGCAUUUUACAAGCUAGUAUUCAGUUUAACAUAAGCCUUUCAUUCAGAAGAUUGGUUUGAUCUCUAAUAGAACUUAUUGAUCCUUGACAAGAAACUGUUGGAAACUAUAAAAUUAGUGUCCUCCUUCACAACAAUCACAUGUUACUCAAGCAGUCAAACUUAGAUAUACAUUUUUCUUAUGUGACAAGUUCAGCCGGUUCUUCAAAAUAUUUGAAAUUGGUUUCCUUUUACCUUCAACUAUUAGAAAGGCAUCAUUUAGCAGCACCCGGACUUCAUCAAAAGUUACGAAUGUGCCGAAGGGUUAUCUUUCACUGUACGUUGGAGAGCAAAUGAAGCGGUCUGUGAUUCGGAUGUCAUAUUUGAACCAAUGGUCAGCCUCACAAUUCCUUGCACAAGAAGAUGUUUUCUUGCAUAUAACUUCUGGCUACAUUCAAUUUCACAUUCAUUCCACGUUCAAUUUGGAAGAGAAUGACUUCCACAUUCUAUAUAUGCUCGUGUUAUCCGUUUUACAUAUAACAAAUUCAGAGUUCAAGUUCUCACUUUUUCAUCUACUACUUCUUUGAGACCAUUCUACUACUUUGAAAAGAGACAAUGGAAAAAAAGAAAUUGCAGUUCACAUGUUUCUGGGGCUGAAUUGCUGGAUUAGAAAAAAGUCUAUACAGAAGUUAAACCCAUCAAAUAAUAGAAUUCAGAUUUACCACUUAACCCAAUUAUGGAAUGUCUAUCUACGAUGACAAUUAGUUGACGGAUUUUGAGGAUAUUUCUAAUCAGUUGGUUUUUCAUUUUGAGGGGAUGGUGCUAAUACUAUUCAAGUUCACAUGUUUCUGAGGCUGAAUUGCAGGACUAAAAGGAGUCUGUACUGAAGUUAACCACAUCAAAUGUUUCUAACCCAAUUGGUUUUACAUUUUACAUUUUGAGGAAAUUUCCAAUACUGAUAAUAAUUGCUUGGAUACUAGUUUGAUUGAGGAAAUCAUUCCUAGCUUUGUUGAUGGAUAGAACAAUAAUAUGCUUAAUAUUUUCAAUGAAAAGGAGGUGAGGUGUUGAACAUAGUAGGGAGAUUGGUGUAACUAACUAGUACAUAGAAUAGAUUAACUGAAUCCUAACUAACCUUUAGUUAGUUAUCAAUUGGCUAGAUAGAGGUUCAAGUUAGUUACAAGUUACUUGCUCUAUAAGUUAUCAUAUUCAGGUGUAUGCAUGGAUGAUGAUGAGUAGUGAAAAAUUCUGCAACAUAUCUUUCUUCUUCGAUCUUUCUUUCUGCACUUUUACAUUUUUAGCUUGAUUCUUAACAUGGUAUCAUCGACCCCUGAUCAAGUCUCCACUGUUGCACUCACUUAACUCAUCUCUUCCAUCUUGGUUUUCUCUCAGUUUUCUGCAUUGUUCCAAUUGUGUUUUUCUGUGUUAACCAUGCCAGUUGCAAGCUCUGCAAGCAGCCUCAAUGGCAGAACUCCAUCACAUGCCAAUAACAAAGGUUAUCAAACCGAUACCCUCAAUCCCUAUUUCAUGCAUCCCAAUGAAAAUCCUGCUUUGGUUCUGUUUCCCCUUUGCUUUCAAACAAUAAUUAUCAUUCUUGGGCAAGAUCCAUGGCAAUUGCUCUAAGAUCCAAGAACAAACUUCAUUUUAUCAAUGACAGCUUACCUUGACCACUGGAUGAAGAUCACAAUUCCCUUGCUUGGGAUCGAUGCAACACUAUGACCAUGUCAUGGAUUCACAAUUUUUGAAUCAGAUAUUGCUCAAAGUGUAUUAUGGAUGGAUACUGCAGUUGAAAUUUGGAACGAACUGAGAGACCGUUUUAACCAAGGUGGUGUAUUCAGAAUAUCAAAUCUUCAAGAUGAAAUAUGCAACUUGAAACAAGGUGAUUCAUUUAUUUCUUCUUAUUACACAAAGCUUAAGAAAUUGUGGUAAGAAUUGAACAAUUUUCGUCCAAUUCCCGACUGUUCAUGUGAUGCUACUUGCCAAGCUAUCACCAAGAUUCGUGCAUACAAAGAUGGUGAUCAAGUUAUCAGAUUCCUCAAAAGUCUGAAUGAUCAAUAUUCAGCUGUGAGGUCCCAAAUCAUGCUAAUGGAACCACAUCUAACCAUCUGCAGAGUUUACUCUCUCCUUGUUCAACAUGAAAGACAAGCUAUCUUACCUAUUGAUGAAUCAAAGGUAUUAUCUUUUCCUAAUCUCAGUCAACCUCAAAACCAUACCUCCAAAUCCAAUAUCAAUUCUUGUGGUAGAGGCAUUAGAGGUGAUCGAUCAUUUGGUGGAAGAGGCCGAGGUUCACGAAUUUGCACUCAUUGUGGCAUGGCCAACCACACAGUUGAUUCUUGCUUCAAAAAUCAUGGUUUUCCCCACAUUGGAAGCAAGAUGGCACAAUCAACCGUUAUGCAACUAUUACUGACAAAGUAGAGGAAUCUCAAAUUGAUUUCAAUGGAGUAAAUGAGCAAGUUCAAGGUAACUUGAUUUUCACACCAGUCUAGCAUAAAGCAUUGCUGGCUCUCCUUCAGGGAUCCUCAUCUUCCCAGGCUCACAACAUCAUCAUCUGGCAACUCAACUUGAAAGUGACUCAGGUAUCAUAUGCACUAUUCCUCACCUUCCUAGACCUAAUAACUUUAUACUUGAUACUGGUGCAACUGACCAUGUAUGUCACACAAAAGAUUUUUUUUCAAUGCAUCAAAAUAAUCAAUCCCAUAACCAUCAAAUUGCCAAAUGCAGCACUUGUCACUACUAAUUAUGCUGGAACCAUACACUUUGAUCAAUAUUUAUAUAUCACUGAUGUUUUAUACAUGCCUGAUUUUUCCUUUAAUCUCAUAUUUGUUCCCAAGCUAACCAAAACCUUGAGCUAGCAAUUGAUGUUUAAUGAUACUGAUUGUAUUAUACAGGAUACUCACUCCAAGAAGAUGAAUGGCACAACUAGAUUAAAUGGUGGAUUGUAUAUCUUAGAUUCUCCCUCAGUUACCUUGUAUCACACUCUAUCAACUCACUUUAUUGAUACCUUACAUAAUCACUCUUUAGACACAUCAUAAAAUUGUAAUCUUUGGCACUUAAGGCUUGGCCACCCCUCAGAUACCAAUUUAAUUUAAUUAAAUAAAUGUUUUCCUUUUGUCAAAUCUGUGAAUUCUGCUAUUCCUUGUGAUGUAUGUUUCUAUGGUAAGCCAAAAAGACUUCCAUUUUCCCUUAGUUCUCAUAUUUCUACUUUUGUUUUUGAUUUAGUGCAUAUGGAUAUUUGGUGCCCCUUAUCCACACCAUCUAUGAUGGGAUAUAGACACUUUCUAGUUGUUGUGCAUGAUAAAAGUAGGUUCCCUUGGUUAUUUCUCAUGAGAUUGAUAUCUGAAGCACCGUCCAUCAUGAAAUCAUUUGAUUCAAGUCACUCUUUACUUAAAGUAUAUUUAUAAUUUAAGAGAGGAUAUUGAAUGUAGGGAGAUUUUGAUAAUCUUUUGAUUAACAAAUACAUAAUAUAAACUUUUAUGUAUAGUGGAAGGGCUGCUAGGAACUUAGACUAAAGGGUUGCCACUAAUUGAAUGCUUUCUGACAACAGCUUCAACGAUAAGUCCAUGUGAAGGGCACGAGAAUUCCUUGUGAUUGUGGAUUCCAUCACCUUCUUCAAACAUCACAAAAAAAUGCAACAUACAAAUACAAUUUAAUCGGUGACUAAGACGUUGUUUUGAGUUUUGUUGACUCAUGUAUGGCCUUGUAAUACAUACCAUACCAGGUUUGUAUUAUCAUAUCUAUUAUUAGUAUGUAAUAGACAGAAUCCAUCAAAUUGGAGCAUGGCUUCAUUGGCUUGUGUUUGUGCAUGCAAUGCAAGUAUAUAAGAUGACACAAAAAACAGCAUAUAAAUUCACAAGAAUAUAGUUUGAUUAGAUUCCCAUUCCAUAUUUCCACUUAAGAGGAAACAUCAAAAUUGACCGGAAUUCCUGAUGUACAAAAAUUGUCUCAACUAGUCAAUCUACACUGUUCUAUGCUAACAUUCAAAUGGAUUUUUUGCUGUAUGAAUUCAUUAUAGGUUGUUCAAGCAAGAAGCUGUAUGUAAGAAGAUAUCUUCCUUGCACGGAAUUGUAAGACCGCCCAUUGGAUGACAGUAACCGAAUUCCUCUUCAGCUUGGUUAAGCAAUUCUUGAAAUAAAGGCUCGUUCAAGAAUGAUAU